rnacentral:rRNA from 1 species
UACGGGGGGGGCGAGCGUUGUUCGGAAUUACUGGGCGUAAAGGGUUUGUAGGUGGUCUGCUAAGUCAGACGUGAAAUCCCUCAGCUUAACUCCGAAACUGCAUUCGAUACUGCCGUGCUUGAGGACUGGAGAGGAGACUGGAAUUUACGGUGUAGCGGUGAAAUGCGUAGAUAUCGUAAGGAAGACCAGUGGCGAAGGCGGGUCUCUGGACAGUUCCUGACGCUGAGGUGCGAAAGCGUGGGGAGCAAACAGG